GACAGAGGAUGCAAGCGUUAUCCGGAAUUAUUGGGCGUAAAGAGCUCGUAGGCGGCCUGUUGCGUCCGCUGUGAAAGCCCGGGGCUUAACCCCGGGUCUGCAGUGGAUACGGGCAGGCUAGAGGUAGGUAGGGGAGAAUGGAAUUCCCGGUGUAGCGGUGAAAUGCGCAGAUAUCGGGAGGAACACCGGUGGCGAAGGCGGUUCUCUGGGCCUUACCUGACGCUGAGGAGCGAAAGCGUGGGGAGCGAACAGGAUAGAUACC
rnacentral:rRNA from 1 species